AUAUGAGACAUUUGCCAAGGCUCUGCUGUACUCCACUCGACCAAGCUUGUUACUCUUGUGGCUGUUUCAGGGAAUCAUCUGUCAGCACAGAGGCAGAAAGUGUGGUCCUGGAACAGUCUUGCCUCUGAGCUCCUUGGAAUCUCACUUCCUGGAGACUGAUCUCUGUGGGGAAACAGAAGCGGCACGUGAAAAAUCUCCAUUAUUAAUAGAGAAUGUCCACACUUGAUUACAUGGGGACAAGAAAACUCCCCUGCUUGACAUGGAGGAAGAGCUGACAAUAGAAUCAUGCUGUUCUACUCGAGGGCAACCCUGGUGAGGAGGGUGCUGAUGGCUUGCACGGAGACCAGGGGGAUCCUGGAAUUGAUAGCUCCAUCCAAG
ensembl:lncRNA